ACAACGGCUCUUUUCAGAGCCACUCACUCUAUCAAAACAGAGUUGU
rfam:Neotoma lepida isolate 417 scaffold_5831, whole genome shotgun sequence.